rnacentral:sRNA from 17 species
UAUAAAAGUCACUAAUCACACACACGUAUCGACACGUAACUCGGGGUGCUGUUUUUAACUUGUUAAAGAUGGUCGAGUUUAUGGGGUACGUGGAAGCUUAAC